GUGGGGAAUAUUCCGCAAUGGACGAAAGUCUGACGGAGCAACGCCGCGUGAGUGAUGAAGGUUUUCGGACUGUAAAGCUCUGUUGUUUGGGACGAAAGUGCCUGUUGCGAACAGUUACGGGUAUUGACGGUACUAAACGAGGAAGCCACGGCUAACUACGUGCCAGCAGCCGCGGUAAUACGUAGGUGGCAAGCGUUGUCCGGAAUUAUUGGGCGUAAAGAGCAUGUAGGCGGGAAUCUAAGUCUGUUGUGAAAAUGCGGGGCUCAACCCCGUAUUGCGAUGGAAACUGGGUUUCUUGAGUGCAGGAGAGGAAAGGGGAAUUCCCAGUGUAGCGGUGAAAUGCGUAGAUAUUGGGAGGAACACCAGUGGCGAAGGCGCCUUUCUGGACUGUGUCUGACGCUGAGAUGCGAAAGCCAGGGUAGCGAACGGGAUUAGAAACCCUAGUAGUCC
rnacentral:rRNA from 1 species